rnacentral:rRNA from 1 species
UUAAGCGACUAAGCGUACACGGUGGAUGCCCUGGCAGUCAGAGGCGAUGAAGGACGUGCUAAUCUGCGAAAAGCGUCGGUAAGGUGAUAUGAACCGUUAUAACCGGCGAUGUCCGAAUGGGGAAACCCAGUGCAAUUCGUUGCACUAUCGUUAACUGAAUACAUAGGUUAACGAGGCGAACCGGGGGAACUGAAACAUCUAAGUACCCCGAGGAAAAGAAAUCAACCGAGAUUCCCCCAGUAGCGGCGAGCGAACGGGGAGCAGCCCAGAGUCUGAAUCAGCUUGUGUGUUAGUGGAACGGUCUGGAAAGUCCGACGGUACAGGGUGAUAGUCCCGUACACCAAAAUGCACAGGCUGUGAACUCGAAGAGUAGGGCGGGACACGUGGUAUCCUGUCUGAAUAUGGGGGGACCAUCCUCCAAGGCUAAAUACUCCUGACUGACCGAUAGUGAACCAGUACCGUGAGGGAAAGGCGAAAAGAACCCCGGCGAGGGGAGUGAAAAAGAACCUGAAACCGUGUACGUACAAGCAGUGGGAGCACCUUCGGGUGUGACUGCGUACCUUUUGUAUAAUGGGUCAGCGACUUAUAUUCUGUAGCAAGGUUAACCGUAUAGGGGAGCCGCAGGGAAACCGAGUCUUAACUGGGCGUUAAGUUGCAGGGUAUAGACCCGAAACCCGGUGAUCUAGCCAUGGGCAGGUUGAAGGUUGGGUAACACUAACUGGAGGACCGAACCGACUAAUGUUGAAAAAUUAGCGGAUGACUUGUGGCUGGGGGUGAAAGGCCAAUCAAACCGGGAGAUAGCUGGUUCUCCCCGAAAGCUAUUUAGGUAGCGCCUCGUGAAUUCAUCUUCGGGGGUAGAGCACUGUUUCGGCUAGGGGGUCAUCCCGACUUACCAACCCGAUGCAAACUACGAAUACCGAAGAAUGUUAUCACGGGAGACACACGGCGGGUGCUAACGUCCGUCGUGAAGAGGGAAACAACCCAGACCGCCAGCUAAGGUCCCAAAGUCAUGGUUAAGUGGGAAACGAUGUGGGAAGGCACAGACAGCCAGGAUGUUGGCUUAGAAGCAGCCAUCAUUUAAAGAAAGCGUAAUAGCUCACUGGUCGAGUCGGCCUGCGCGGAAGAUGUAACGGGGCUAAACCAUGCACCGAAGCUGCGGCAGCGACACUAUGUGUUGUUGGGUAGGGGAGCGUUCUGUAAGCCUGCGAAGGUGACCUGUGAGGGUUGCUGGAGGUAUCAGAAGUGCGAAUGCUGACAUAAGUAACGAUAAAGCGGGUGAAAAGCCCGCUCGCCGGAAGACCAAGGGUUCCUGUCCAACGUUAAUCGGGGCAGGGUGAGUCGACCCCUAAGGCGAGGCCGAAAGGCGUAGUCGAUGGGAAACAGGUUAAUAUUCCUGUACUUGGUGUUACUGCGAAGGGGGGACGGAGAAGGCUAUGUUAGCCGGGCGACGGUUGUCCCGGUUUAAGCAUGUAGGCUGAUUAUCCAGGCAAAUCCGGAUAAUCAAGGCUGAGGUGUGAUGACGAGGCACUACGGUGCUGAAGUAACAAAUGCCCUGCUUCCAGGAAAAGCCUCUAAGCAUCAGGUAACAUCAAAUCGUACCCCAAACCGACACAGGUGGUCAGGUAGAGAAUACCAAGGCGCUUGAGAGAACUCGGGUGAAGGAACUAGGCAAAAUGGUGCCGUAACUUCGGGAGAAGGCACGCUGGUGUGUAGGUGAAGUCCCUGCGGAUGGAGCUGAGACCAGUCGAAGAUACCAGCUGGCUGCAACUGUUUAUUAAAAACACAGCACUGUGCAAACACGAAAGUGGACGUAUACGGUGUGACGCCUGCCCGGUGCCGGAAGGUUAAUUGAUGGGGUUAUCCGUAAGGAGAAGCUCUUGAUCGAAGCCCCGGUAAACGGCGGCCGUAACUAUAACGGUCCUAAGGUAGCGAAAUUCCUUGUCGGGUAAGUUCCGACCUGCACGAAUGGCGUAAUGAUGGCCAGGCUGUCUCCACCCGAGACUCAGUGAAAUUGAACUCGCUGUGAAGAUGCAGUGUACCCGCGGCAAGACGGAAAGACCCCGUGAACCUUUACUAUAGCUUGACACUGAACAUUGAGCCUUGAUGUGUAGGAUAGGUGGGAGGCUUUGAAGCGUGGACGCCAGUCUGCGUGGAGCCAACCUUGAAAUACCACCCUUUAAUGUUUGAUGUUCUAACGUUGGCCCCUUACCGGGGUUGCGGACAGUGUCUGGUGGGUAGUUUGACUGGGGCGGUCUCCUCCCAAAGCGUAACGGAGGAGCACGAAGGUUAGCUAAUCCUGGUCGGACAUCAGGAGGUUAGUGCAAUGGCAUAAGCUAGCUUGACUGCGAGCGUGACGGCGCGAGCAGGUGCGAAAGCAGGUCAUAGUGAUCCGGUGGUUCUGAAUGGAAGGGCCAUCGCUCAACGGAUAAAAGGUACUCCGGGGAUAACAGGCUGAUACCGCCCAAGAGUUCAUAUCGACGGCGGUGUUUGGCACCUCGAUGUCGGCUCAUCACAUCCUGGGGCUGAAGUAGGUCCCAAGGGUAUGGCUGUUCGCCAUUUAAAGUGGUACGCGAGCUGGGUUUAGAACGUCGUGAGACAGUUCGGUCCCUAUCUGCCGUGGGCGCUGGAGAAUUGAGGGGGGCUGCUCCUAGUACGAGAGGACCGGAGUGGACGCAUCACUGGUGUUCGGGUUGUCAUGCCAAUGGCACUGCCCGGUAGCUAAAUGCGGAAGAGAUAAGUGCUGAAAGCAUCUAAGCACGAAACUUGCCCCGAGAUGAGUUCUCCCUGAGACUUUAAGUCUCCUGAAGGAACGUUGAAGACGACGACGUUGAUAGGCCGGGUGUGUAAGCGCAGCGAUGCGUUGAGCUAACCGGUACUAAUGAACCGUGAGGCUUAACCUU